rnacentral:rRNA from 1 species
CAGCUGGGGCGACCCUGACGCUGAGAGACGAAAGCGUAGGGAGAGAACGGGAUUAGAUACCCCGGUAUUCUACGCUGUAAACGAUGGAUACUAACUGCCUGAAGUGUCGACCCUUCGGGUGGUGAAGCUAACGCGUUAAGUAUCCCGCCUGGGAAGUACGGCCGCAAGGCUAAAACUCAAAGGAAUAGACGGGGAUUCACACAAGCGGUGGAUCAUGUGGCUUAAUUCGACAGUAAGCGAAGAACCUUACCAGGGUUUGAAAGGUUAGUGAAAUCCUGUUGAAAAGCAGGACUACCCACAAGGACACUAACCCAGGUGCUGCACGGCUGCCGUCAGCAUGUGCUUUGAAGUGCUCCCUUAAAUGGGGUAACAUGCGCAACCCCUAUUCUACGUUACAAGUGUCGUAGAAAACUGCCUGGGAUAACCAGGAGGAAGGUGGGGACGACGUCAAGUCAGCGUGGCCCUUUGAUAUCCUGGGCUGCACACAUGAUACAAUGGGACCGACAAUGGGCUGCUAAGCAGUAAUGCGGAGCUAAUCCCUGAAAACGGUCUCUCAGUCCGGAUUGAGGUCUGCAAUUCGACCUCAUGAAGCUGGAAUCGCUAGUAAUCGUGCAUCAGCUACGGCGCGAUGAAUACGUUCCUGAAUCUUGUACUCACCGCCCGUCAAGUCAAGCGAGCUGGGAAUACCCGAAGCACCUUUUUCAAGGUACCACGGUAGGCUCAGUAAGAGGGACUAAGUCGUAACAAGGCAUCGGUAGGGGAACCUGUCGAUG